UGGUGGAGUGAUUUGUCUGGUUGAUUCCGUUAACGAACGAUAUCUUGGCCCUUCAAUGACAGUUCGAUCGACCUGUAGUCCAUGCAACGGGGGACAACGCCUGUAGUAGCA
rnacentral:rRNA from 1 species